rnacentral:rRNA from 1 species
GCUGGCGGCACGCCUAACACAUGCAAGUCGAACGAAGUAGCAAUACUUAGUGGCAGACGGGUGAGUAACAUGUAGGUAUCUACCCUUUGGCCUGGAAUAACACGAGGAAACUUGUGCUAAUACCGGAUAAGUCUUUACAGAGAAAGCUUUAUGCACCAUUGGAUGAGCCUGCACUUGAUUAGUUUGUUGGUGGGGUAAUGGCCUACCAAGACUGUGAUCAAUAGCUGAUUUGAGAGGAUGAUCAGCCACAUUGGGACUGAGACACGGCCCAAACUCCUACGGGAGGCAGCAGUGGGGAAUCUUGCACAAUGGAGGAAACUCUGAUGCAGCGAUGCCGCGUGAGUGAAGAAGGCCUUUGGGUUGUAAAGCUCUUUCGUCGGGGAAGAAAAUGACUGUACCCGAAUAAGAAGGUCCGGCUAACUUCGUGCCAGCAGCCGCGGUAAUACGAAGGGACCUAGCGUAGUUCGGAAUUACUGGGCUUAAAGAGUUCGUAGGUGGUUGAAAAAGUUGGUGGUGAAAUCCCAGAGCUUAACUCUGGAACUGCCAUCAAAACUUUUCAGCUAGAGUAUGAUAGAGGAAAGCAGAAUUUCUAGUGUAGAGGUGAAAUUCGUAGAUAUUAGAAAGAAUACCAAUUGCGAAGGCAGCUUUCUGGAUCAUUACUGACACUGAGGAACGAAAGCAUGGGUAGCGAAGAGGAUUAGAUACCCUCGUAGUCCAUGCCGUAAACGAUGUGUGUUAGACGUUGGAAAUUUAUUUUCAGUGUCGCAGCGAAAGCGAUAAACACACCGCCUGGGGAGUACG